CCUAUCAACUUGUUGGUAAGGUAGUGGCUUACCAAGGUUGCAACGGGUAACGGGGGAUCAGGGUUCGAUUCCGGAGAGGGAGCCUGAGAAACGGCUACCACAUCCAAGGAAGGCAGCAGGCGCGCAAAUUACCCAAUCCAGACAAUGGGAGGUGGUGACCAGAAGUACUGGGUGGUGGACUAUGUCUACCAAUCCCGGAAUGAGCAUAAAGUAAAAAUUUAGUCGAGUAACAACUGGAGGGCAAGUCUGGUGCCAGCAGCCGCGGUAAUUCCAGCUCCAGUAGCAUGUCGUAAAGUUGUUGCGUUUAAAACGCUCGUAGUUGGAUCAUACAGUAGUACAAAGUUGGUCUUAUUCAUAGCGACUAUCCAACGUCUGCCAUUUACUUGUGGAAGUUGACUCGACUGCAAGUUGUGGUAGAGGUGUCCUUUGAUUAGAUUAUGUAGCUUUGUACUACUAUUUGCACGUAAGAAUGGUGAUUGGCCUUAAGUGUGUUGGUCAUUGUGUCUUACGGGGUGUGCCUUGAAAAAAUCAGAGUGCUUAAAGCAGGUGUUGUGCCUGAAUGAUACAGCAUGGAACGAACAAUCGUGUAACGUGUACAACUUGUUGUACACAUCACCAACCACCAUGUACGGAUGUUGGUUUCCGUAUUGGGGUGAUGAUUAAAACGAGCGGUUGGGGGCAUUGGUAUUUGGCCGCGAGAGGUGAAAUUCUUAGACCGGCCAAGGACUAACAAAAGCGAAGGCAUUUGCCAAGACCGUCUCGAUUAAUCAAGAACGAAAGUGAGCGGAUCGAAGACGAUCAGAUACCGUCCUAGUGCUCACCCUAAACUAUGCCAACCCGGGAUUAGCUUAGAGCAUUAUUUACGCUCCAGGUUGGUCCCCCUGGGAAACCUCAAGUGUUUGGGUUACGGGGGGAGUAUGGUCGCAAGGCUGAAACUUAAAGGAAUUGACGGAAGGGCACCACCAGGGGUGGAGCCUGCGGCUUAAUUUGACUCAACACGGGAAAACUCACCCAAACCGGACGUUAAAAGGAUAGACAGACUAAUAGAUCUUUCUUGAUAUGAUGUGUGGUGGUGCAUGGCCGUUCUUAGUUCGUGAAGUGAUUUGUCAGGUUGAAUCCGGUAACGGACGAGAUCAAGAUCUUCAUUUACGAUACGUAAUAGUAGCAGGCAUAAAUGCCGGCUGCUCUAUCCGACACGAUUGAUUGACGUUUAACUGAUAUCGGUCGUGUCGGGUAUUCUUACGUAAUGCUGUACGGGGAAACCAAUACAGCUGCAUGAAGAGACAACUGACUAUAAAUAAAAUCAGAGGAAGUUUGGCAAUAACAGGUCUGUGAUGCCC
rnacentral:rRNA from 1 species